rnacentral:lncRNA from 1 species
GCCUUUUCUGAUCACUCCCUCUCACAUUUUUCUUCAAAUAUUCACAGCAUGAAUCGCUUUCAAUCUGCCUCCUUUUCGCUCUGCUGAUCCUCUUCUUUGCUCCGAGAACUCAUGCCAUUCGGACAAGCUUCCCGAGCCCGUCUUCCGCAAGAAGCCAACAAGUUUUCAGGCCAUCAGUGACUAGUGCUCCCUCUACCAGAGAUCAUGAAGCCAGAAAUUUCGAGUCCGAGAAGCGAAAGGUUCCGACGGGAUCAAACCCUUUACACAACAAGCGAUGAUCCUUCAAGUUUUUUAAGAACUCCCAUUUCCAGAUAAACACAAAUAUUUAUCUAGCUAGCUUGUUUAAUUAAUUUGUAUUUACAAAAGAUAUAUGCUUCACGAUGUGUAGUUAAUUAGUAGUUAGCUUGAACAUAUAUAGUUGGAGAUUUCUAUAUACCAAAUGAUGAUCAUAUCACAGCAGGCCUUGAAUUUUGAAGCUCCAUUUGUAGAGAUAUUGUACAGAAGGUGGUUGUGAAGGUUUUGAAGAAAACCAUGUAAGGGUUUGAUUCAUAUAGUCUUGUUUGACUGUUAUUUGUUUUUUUCUUUUCUUUCAGAUUGUAUUUUCUUAUGAAUUAUUUAAUUAAUUAAUUUUUCUUUUGGCUUGUUUUAGCUCUACCUGAAAUAGCUACUGCAUGCAUAUAUAAUUUCAUGUUUGCGUUUUGGGAACUUAAAUUGGAUGCAGCUUUGGCCUGCCAAAAUCUGAUACAAUGAGAAGAAUUUGGUUUCACAAGUCCGUCCAUCCAUCUUUGAAAAACGCAGACUACUUGAGUGACUUCCAAACCCAUAAGUAUAGAAUAUUCAAAUUUCCAUCUUAUUCAAUCUUCUGGGUUUUCGUGGUACUUGCACCACACCAAAUAUAAGGCUUCAUAUGAAGCCAGCAUAUUCUUUUAGUGAUCUUAAGUAUGUACUGAUACAUUAUACAUAGUGAUUUUUUCACUCUUGUUCUUCUUCUUGUUUUUUUAGCAUUUGACUGAAUAAAUCAAAGAAUUUAACAAAGAAACAAUGAUACGAAUACAGAGAGAGAAAACAAGAGUGUGAAAAUCAAUAUAUAUACACACACACAUGUGUGUGCCAGGAUCACCAUUGGAAUUUGAGCAUAUGCACAAAAUACAAGAUGAUAUUAUAAAAUGGGUAUGGUCUAAUUGAGUGUGCCUGCUGUGCUGGCUGUUUCUGAGCUUUUUCUAGAACCCAAAUUUGAAUGCAGAGUGUAAAUACCCAUUACUUCAUACAACUACCAUACAAUUAAGAAGAGGGAUACCCCUUACUUACCCCUCCUUGCAGAUGUAAUGGAAUAUAUGUUGAAUCUUUAGGUCCACAAAACCUACAUAACUCAGGUGCACCAAAUGCAGUUGAGGGUUAUCUAUUAACAGCCUUGUCAUAGUAGUACUUUAGAAAUCUCAAAUCCGAUAUGAAUGUUUAAUGUUUAUAGCGCUCUCGAAACCCCUCAAUCAGUGCUCAAACCUCCUCAAAAGAAACUAGGUUAAAUUGAACAUACAGGUCCAAAAUUUCCGAAUUUAACUGUCCUAACCAUGAAUGUAGAAGUGUAAUGUUUUUUAUCUUCAAAAUAUAAUUGACACCAAUGCUCAAGCCCUCUCGAGACCCCUCGAUCAGUGCUCGAGCCUCCAUGGAAGCUGAAAACUAGGUUAUAACUUAUAAGUCUUAAACAUGUUCAAAUUCGGUCUAGUUUUCAAGAUUUCCCGAAUUCAAUUAUUUUCUAACCGUGAAUGUAGAAAUUCGCAGGACUCCUUGGACUUAAUUAAUUAAAUGCAGAUGGAGGAAUAGCUUAGGUGAGGCAGCUUGUGGGAGGUGGGUGUGGUCCACGGUGCGUAAGUGCACCAACUGGCUACGCAUAAGGCAUCCCCACCAGAGCCUUUAUGUACUACUGUGUAUAUAUAUGAAUCUGGUGUAUGUGCGCGUGUAAAUUUGCACUAAUUUUUUAGUUGAGGAAAUUAUUACGUAGUUGAAAAAAUUAGCCUAACAUGAUGGAUUUCAAGUGAAAAGGAAAAUCCAGCAAAUACUUGUCGUCCCACGCACCAACUAUUUGGCUUUUGUGUAUUUGGGAGAUGUAAAACCUCAGAAACCCUAUUACUGGGUCUAAUACAUAUGUAUACACACACACACACACACUUAGAGGGAAUGAACUAAUUUCUUGAAUUGUUACCAGAUCAUAUAUCUAGAUUCUUCAUCGUAAAUAGACGAUUUCUGCAACUUCAACUAGGCCACAUCUGCUAUCAACUUUCUGCAGCCCAAAAUAAACAAGAAUUAAAAAUAAGGAAUUAGAAACACAAGAGAGAUAUUUAACGUCUACCGAUCCAGAUCUAGUUGGACCAGUCAGGAGUGUGAGUUUAACGACCACCUUUCUAGUCGUCGGCGCCAGAUCUAUAUAAACCAUUGAGGAUGAGAGAGAGACCAUUUGUUUUAGAAAUAAUGGCAUGGCCAUCUGAAAAGCAGUCGGAAAGGCUCAAGGACUUAAAAGUUGCCUUUGCUUUUAGCUUCUAGAAAAGAAAAUAAGAACAAAUUAUCUAAGACAACAAAAAGAUUGAAAAGGGCAUAACAAGUGCAAGACUGCAAGUUAAAAGUUAAAAUAUGCAAGGUAUUAAAGUAAAAUCAACUUGAAUAUAGUUGUGAAGUAGCUGAAUAUAUCAAAAUAUAGCCAUGUGAACUCCACGAGUACUGUCACCACGUUUAGCUUUGGUUCCGUUAAAAACAAAAUAAUUAUCAUUAUCUAGGAUUAUAAUAAUUAAAAAAAUUAGUUUGUAAAUUAGAUUGGUGACACCGUUUUUCAGUGGGACAAG